rnacentral:tRNA from 1 species
GGAAAAUCCGUCGACUUUAUAAAUCGGAGGGUUCAAGUCCCUCUAUCCC